rnacentral:rRNA from 1 species
AUUGAACGCUGGCGGCAGGCCUAACACAUGCAAGUCGAACGAGUGGCGGACGGGUGCGUAAUGUCUGGGAAACUGCCUGAUGGAGGGGGAUAACUACUGGAAACGGUAGCUAAUACCGCCUACCAUCGGAUGUGCCCAGAUGGGAUUAGCUAGUAGGUGGGGUAAAUGCUCACCUAGGCUACGAUGCCUAGCUGGUCUGAGAGGAUGACCAGGCACACGGAAACUGAGACACGGGCCAGACUCCUCCGGGAGGCAGCAGUGGGGAAUAUUGCGCAAAGGGAUCAAGCCUGAUGCAGCCAGGCCGCGUGUAUGAAGAAGGCCUUCGGGUUGUAAAGUACUUUCAGCGGGAAGGCGUUACCCGCAGAAGAAGCACCGGCUAACUCCGUGCCAGCAGCCGCGGUAAUUC